rnacentral:rRNA from 1 species
AGCAGGGGAUCUUCGGACCUUGCGCGAUUGAAUGAGCCGAUGUCGGAUUAGCUAGUUGGCGGGGUAAAGGCCCACCAAGGCGACGAUCCGUAGCUGGUCUGAGAGGAUGAUCAGCCACACUGGAACUGAGACACGGUCCAGACUCCUACGGGAGGCAGCAGUGGGGAAUAUUGGACAAUGGGCGCAAGCCUGAUCCAGCCAUACCGCGUGGGUGAAGAAGGCCUUCGGGUUGUAAAGCCCUUUUGUUGGGAAAGAAAUCCAGCUGGUUAAUACCCGGUUGGGAUGACGGUACCCRAAGAAUAAGCACCGGCUAACUUCGUGCCAGCAGCCGCGGUAAUACGAAGGGUGCAAGCGUUACUCGGAAUUACUGGGCGUAAAGCGUGCGUAGGUGGUCGUUUAAGUCCGUUGUGAAAGCCCUGGGCUCAACCUGGGAACUGCAGUGGAUACUGGGCGACUAGAAUGUGGUAGAGGGUAGCGGAAUUCCUGGUGUAGCAGUGAAAUGCGUAGAGAUCAGGAGGAACAUCCAUGGCGAAGGCAGCUACCUGGACCAACAUUGACACUGAGGCACGAAAGCGU